GUUUUUGGCUUUUUAAAAAAAUCUAUGGCUAUAGGCAAAAAAUCCUGACAAUAUCUGACAUUGCUGGGCAACUUAUGUUGGUUCCUCAAUACUUUCUUUAUUUUGUCUUUCUAGUUUUCCAAGCCUAGGGUUGGCAUGAAUGGUUUCAGAAUUCCACAGUAAGCAUGGGCCACAGAAUUCCACAGUAUGUCGAGAAUGGGUCAAGUUUGGUUUGCUUGUUGAUUUCUAGGGUCCCAGUAAUAUAUAUUAGCUCAUUUAAUUUUUAAUAUAUACAUAUAUAUAUAUAUAUGUAUAGUACAAGUCCCUUACAUUUAGCAAAGACUUAAUAAAUAAGAUACUAUGUUAUUUUUAACAAUCAUUAUUUGGUACGACUUUCUUAUUUCAUAUGUGAGGAAAUUAAGCCCCAGGGCAGGCAAUUAAUACAUUCUAGACCUAAUUAACUCAAAGCAGUGACAACCCAGGGACCAAAUCCCUGAACUGUGGCCCCACAAUCACUGUUCCUUACAUAAUGUCUUGUUGAGUAAUACAUGUGGGGGCUCUUUUUUUUCUGUUGGUGCAGGGAGAAGAGGAGAGGAGCUAGGGUGGGAGGCACAAGAGACACACCUUCAACCACCAGUAGCUUUUCUUCUACUAAAUUACUGCUGAAAUAAAGUAUGUCUUGGCAAUUUAGAACCCCGUGAUUUCACAAGGGAUAGAACAGGUAUGCAAAGGAGCGAGAGAUGCAUGCUUGACAGGUUAAAAACAAAUUUAUGAGCACAAAUUGGAAGUUUUACCAGGAAGCAUAAUAGUGUGUUCCAGACGUAUAAGAUACAGCAGCAUUAAUUUUCAAAUGAAGACUCAGUUGGGGAUUAGCAACAUGGGUAGCAUAGAAGCUUCAUAAUUCUUUAGAACACAGUGAUGUGCUAGGAACGCCUCUAAGGAACACAGCACCAAAUCCUAGCCCACAGACACCAGGCUAGGAUUGAUCACACUAAUGAAGUGAUAGAAAUUACUUACUCAUUCCUUCCUACCUUAAUGCAAACAUUCAAAACAUUGCCGAGUUUCCUUGUUUCUCAAGAACACUUACAGGUGUUGACACAGGAGAGUGAUUAAAUGUACUUUUGGCUUGAGGUAAGCAGACUCUGGCAAGAAGCAAGGUAGAAGUACACCAAGGCUGCUAUGGGAACAUUGAAGAGGUUGUGAAGGGAAAAAUAAGAAUGGAGGAGACUUCCCUGGGAAAGGUCCAGGCAAACGGCAGUACCUCUCCUCCCAACUACAACUCCGUCUUCUAAAUCCUUCCAAAUUAUCAGAGAUAUCAACUUAUUAAUGUCUAGCUUUUUAUUAACCCAAGUAUUAGUAAUGAAAUAAGAGUGUAAUAUUGCAAUUUUACUCUACUGCAGCAGGCUGGCUGGAGUAUAUGUGGAAUGGAGAAAAAUUUAAAUAAUGUUUCCCUUGGUGACUGGAGUAUAUAAUAGGAAAACUGGGCUAAAUUUAAAAGGUGAUAUUAUAUACAGAUUCCGUGGAAAAUGUCACCUUACAAAAAGAUUGCAUUAGUGUACUAUACCAAUUAGGUCUUAUUUAUAUAGUAAGUUGGGCUAAGCUCAGCACAGAUGUAGCUUAAAAAAUGAUUUGGAACUUAUGCCUGGAGAAGAAUUAUAAAACAGGACUGUUUAUUUCUGAACCCAGGAGGCAUUCAGAUACAAUUAGACAUGUUAAUAAAAUAACCCAAUCUGAGUCCAUUCUUUCUACAGUCUUUACAAAGUUGAUCACUUCCCUCUCAGCUGUGAUUGAUGUCUAAGUCUGACUUACUUUGCCUUGAUGGUGCUACCAAACUCGAGUGAUAUUCCACUGAUGUCCAGAUCUCAAAGUGAUAGAACCCUGGUUUUGCAAGAAAGAAGCUGCUUGUUUGGUAGGCAGGUGGCUCCCUGUGCUGCAGUUGGAGCGCGUCAAUCAUCGCUGACAACCUGCAGUACCCAGUCCUGAGUGUCUCCUCCAGCUAUCGCCGUCUGAGACUUUUAAAAGGGAUGUGUAGUCCUCUUAGGUCUCGUUUCAAGCAUUCCACACGAAAGUGGAAAAGAUAUCUGCACUGACAUGAAGAGCUCCAUUCAGCUGGAACUUUUUGUUUUCCUACAACAAGUAAUCCUUUCUUUCUAUUUUGUAAUGCUCGGGCUCAUCUACAAAUUCUUGGACUCUUUCUUAGACAUGCAGAGUCCAGCAAAACUGCUCCCCACUCCCAACCCCACCAAAAUUAACAUCAAUCAGCAAGUGUAUGCUAUUUUUAAUAUCGAAGACAGGUUGUUGGAAUGAAUGGACUUUCUGAGUGGCAACAUAGAGACAGUGGGCUGGGACCAAGAAGAGCCAAUCAUUAAUCACUCCCCUUUGUUUUUAAAUGGACUUACUAGGCUUUAAAAAAAAUUGUAUUAUUUCAACAAAACAACCUACAAAUAAAUACAAAACAAAAGGGCACGUGUAGGGACAUAUUGAAAGGAAGCAUGCAUACCAAAAAGAUAAGUGCAAAUUGGAUUUGAAUAUUCAUGAGUCACAAAUCAUUGACAGUUUGAAAUAAU
rnacentral:sRNA from 1 species